ensembl:snRNA U6 U6 spliceosomal RNA
UUGCUUCAGCAGCACACCUACUAAAAUUGGAAUGAUAAGUGUGGUCCCUGUGCAAGGAUGAUACACAAAUUCAUGAAGUCUUCCAUAUUUUU